AUUUUUGUUGAAGGCAGAAGAUUAAAGAAAGAAUUGCUGAGCUGAUAUCCUUGGGGUUACAGGCUGAGGUCCCAGGUAGUAUUGGAAGACAUGAGUCUUUAAUAAAAACUUGUCCGAAGGUACCAAGAUGUGUUGGAGGGGAAGCAAUGUUCCCCAAAGUCCAGCAUAGUAGACAUCAGUGGUGGUAACCAAGGAGAGACCCCAAGGGAAGGUGAACCUCAAAAAUGGAACCUUGAGUCUAUGCGGUCCAGCAGCCCUCCCCACCAGGAAAUCCUUGUUCCAGCCCAACAUCAGUGGCUCUGAGUUUGGUUACUAGAAACGAAGGGAGAAUUUCCUUGUAAAGAUAUAGACAGAGCAGUCCCUGACUUUCUCCUCUUGCAGGAAGGAGGGAUUCUCCCAUUCCAUACCAUCUUCCCCCCAUGCUGGCCCCAGAAAUACUUAAUUUGACUAUAUAAAAAUAAAGAUUGUUUUCAGUUUAAGGGCA